ACCAGUCAAAAAAUAAAGUAUAGCUAAUAAUUCACCCCGCUUUACUUUUGCCAUACCACCAUUAGCGCCAUCACCAACUAAUCUAAUCUAAUCUAAUCCGUGCGCUCACCGGCAGCACGGCGUGAGUGGGUUUGCAUGCCUGCCUGAUGUCAAAAGCCGGAAACACAGCAAACCACUCCUCCACGAAUCGACGCCGACGUACGUCUUGCAUCUCUAGAUAGCUAGCCAUCUUCUCCGCAUGUGUGCGUGUGUGUGUGGAAGGAAUGGAUCGUUUCUGACCUGACCACCUUUCGGAAAUGGCGACCCAAUCGUCAAUUCAGCGACGACGCCCAGGUCGCGCGGCACCGACGGUCAUUUCGUUCUCGCGCAACCACCUUUUCGCCGUUUUUCUCGGCUCCUUUGCAUGAGCUGGUCCGCUGGAGACAGUCAUGCACGACACGACACGCAUAUCGUAUGGUUUGGUCGAUUUCUCAUGGGAAUCCAGCUGGUGGCAACCAUCGAUCUAGGUAGCCGGUGACCAGCUAGCUAGCAUGACGGAGGUUACUACGCGCCUACACGGGAUCGUGU
rnacentral:lncRNA from 1 species